rnacentral:rRNA from 1 species
UACGAAGGGGGCUAGCGUUGCUCGGAAUCACUGGGCGUAAAGGGUGCGUAGGCGGGUCUUUAAGUCAGGGGUGAAAUCCUGGAGCUCAACUCCAGAACUGCCUUUGAUACUGAAGAUCUUGAGUCCGGGAGAGGUGAGUGGAACUGCGAGUGUAGAGGUGAAAUUCGUAGAUAUUCGCAAGAACACCAGUGGCGAAGGCGGCUCACUGGCCCGAUACUGACGCUGAGGCACGAAAGCGUGGGGAGCAACAGG